rnacentral:rRNA from 1 species
ACGGAAGGCAGCAGUGGGGAAUAUUGGACAAUGGGCGCAAGCCUGAUCCAGCGACGCCGCGUGAGUGAAGAAGUAUUUCGGUAUGUAAAGCUCUAUCAGCAGGGAAGAUAAUGACGGUACCUGACUAAGAAGCCCCGGCUAACUACGUGCCAGCAGCCGCGGUAAUACGUAGGGGGCAAGCGUUAUCCGGAAUUACUGGGUGUAAAGGGUGCGUAGGUGGUAUGGCAAGUCAGAAGUGAAAACCCAGGGCUUAACUCUGGGACUGCUUUUGAAACUGUCAGACUGGAGUGCAGGAGAGGUAAGCGGAAUUCCAAGUGUAGCGGUGAAAUGCGUAGAUAUUAGGAGGAACAUCAGUGGCGAAGGCGGCUUACUGGACUGAAACUGACACUGAGGCACGAAAGCGUGGGGAGCAAACAGGAUUAGAUACCCUGGUA